CUACGGGAGGCAGCAGUGGGGAAUCUUAGACAAUGGGCGCAAGCCUGAUCUAGCCAUGCCGCGUGGACGAUGAAGGCCUUAGGGUUGUAAAGUCCUUUCGCUGGGGAAGAUAAUGACUGUACCCAGUAAAGAAGCCCCGGCUAACUCCGUGCCAGCAGCCGCGGUAAUACGGAGGGGGCUAGCGUUGUUCGGAAUUACUGGGCGUAAAGCGCACGUAGGCGGAUCAGCAAGUUAGGGGUGAAAUCCCGGGGCUCAACCCCGGAACUGCCUUUAAAACUGUUGGUCUAGAGUUCGAGAGAGGUGAGUGGAAUUCCGAGUGUAGAGGUGAAAUUCGUAGAUAUUCGGAGGAACACCAGUGGCGAAGGCGGCUCACUGGCUCGAUACUGACGCUGAGGUGCGAAAGCGUGGGGAGCAAACAGGAUUAGAAACCCGAGUAGUCC
rnacentral:rRNA from 1 species